rnacentral:misc_RNA from 1 species
GAUGAAGAACGCAGUGAAAUGCGAUAAGUAGUGUGAAUUGCAGAAUUCAGUGAAUCAUCAAAUCUUUGAACGCACAUUGCGCCCUUUGGUAUUCCAAAGGGCAUGCCUGUUCGAGCGUCAUUUGUACCCUCAAGCUUUGCUUGGUGUUGGGCGUCUUGUCUCUAGCUUUGCUGGAGACUCGCCUUAAAGUAAUUGGCAGCCGGCCUACUGGUUUCGGAGCGCAGCACAAGUCGCACUCUCUAUCAGCAAAGGUCUAGCAUCCAUUAAGCCUUUUUUUCAACUUUUGACCUCGGAUCAGGUAGGGAUACCCGCUGAACUUAAGCAUAUCAAUAAGCGGAGGA